rnacentral:piRNA from 1 species
UGCAUGGAGAAGCCUGGGACACUUAGCUGC